ACCCUGCAUGAGAAGGACCUAAAAUUACCCUUGAAUGACCUUUAUAAGAAGAAAUUCCAGGGUGACAGUGCCACCAUUUGUAAGUCUGUUGAUGCAAUUUUGUAAGUGAUUGUUAUCAAUGCCUUUCCACUGGGGCAAUCCAAGUGAUGACUAUGACUAUAUUAUCCCCUUUAAAAGCCUGAUGCUUCAUCAUCCCUCUGCUGUGGUGCAUGCCAGUUCUCUCCUGGCCUGGGACACCCCUGAGCAGCACAGUGCAAGGGAGAGUUGGCCCAGGACAACACAAGAGACCAAAUCACCUUUAGCAUAAACCGGGCAAUGUCCCAGGGCUUAAGCACCAACCCCAGCCCCCUUCUGUUCAGGGAGUGCAGCCAGCCACUUCUUUUAUCCUGCAGACACACAGUGGAUUUGGAGCCUCCCAUGUUUCUACCCGACGGGUUUCUGUGACAAGAGUGAGGGCAGGGAAGCACACAGGCAUAUUCACACAUGCAAGAGUAUUUGAUUUUAUGCCAGGAGUUCAACAGCUAAAAAGACUUGCAUUUUCUUGUAUAGGUAGCAUGAUUAGAACAUAAAUUAAGGAAUUUAGGACUCCUGUCUAUCAAUCCUUAUAGACUCCUUCAAAGUACUAGUUCAAAUAAGAACAUUUGUACAAUUCACAAAUCUGCAACAACACACCUGGUCAAAGUUUCUCAUGGCUUUUUAUUUAUCUGUCUUCAAAACACCAUAUGCACAUAUGAUGAGAUAUAAAAUAAAAAUAUGCUAUUCUCUGGUAUUCCCCAGAUUUCCAAAUAGUAGGGUAUGCAGAGAGUAAAAAUUAUUGCUAUUAGAGACCUACCUCAGUCUAAAAACGAAAUUUACACCACAUCACUAAUUGUGUUUAUAAGCACUUAAAGAGAAAACAAUAAUUAACUUGUAACUCACAGCCAAAAGCUUGAGCACUCCAAAGGCUGGACACUAGGUGGCAGAAAAAUUAUAUGUUCUCCAGUACCUGACAAAUACUCAUCCUUCUAGUAAGAAGGCAGGCCCAGGGAGUUAUAGGAUGUAUCUCAAAUAAAUUGAAGGUUUAUAGCUGCCCUGCUUUUCCUGUUAAGUUCAAAUGAGCACAGACCCUGUUAAGGCUGGGGUUUUUUUGCUCCUGCAAAGCAACAUUUCUCCAACAGCCCAUCAAGCAGGAGCCAUUGCAGGCAGAGGCUAUGCUGAAAAAGCUGGAAAAAAGGCUUGGAAAGGAAGCAAAGGAAACAGGUGUUAGUACACAUCCUGCCAGUGCCCUGCCCUCCUCUUCAUGCCCUACAGCAAAGAUAUAGAAACCAUAAAUAAAAUAAUUAAUAAAAAUAAAACAACAGGCAUCAGGACUUUAUGAAGGCGAGCAGGAGGUUCUACAUCAGGAUUUCUAACAUCAUCCCCUGACCACUGGGCAUAUGUAAAUGCAGGCCUAUGGCAGGUCACAGCCAUGCCCAUGCAAGUGACCGUGGCAUUUUGGUGGUGCAGCUUCUGGCCUUGGCUGGCUCUCAGGAGCAGAAGGAGCUCAGACUCACUCAGAUGGGAGCAGGGCUGGAGGUUAAAUAGUCACACCUUAUUGCAGGCUCCUGGCUGAUUUAGUGAUUUAUGGCUUCAUCUUACUCAUCUUCUCUUGCAGCCCCAGCAUAUGCUUCCUGUCACCUUUACUUCCAGAUACAAGGAGCAAAGUAAAACACGCCUACCAACUGCCCCUGCUGCAGGGAGAGCAACAACCCCCACUCCCUCCUAAAAGGAGACUCCUGGGACUUAAUGCUCCCAUGACAUCCAAACUCCCAGAACUGACUAUUCAAGCACAUCCUUCGCCAUCCUGGAGCCUGUCCCUGAGCACGAAGAGGUUCAUUUUAACAAAAACCUUGGCAACUUCCAGACCAGUAUUUUCAGCUUCUCUUGCUGGGGUCAUCUGAAGAGAGGACCUUAAGGAAGAAUUAAAUGGAACUAGUAGGACCCUUCUGGAUUAAAAGGGACUUGCAAGCCUGCAGGAAAGCUCAGGGCUAUGGGAGAAGUGCCCAAGGCUGUACCCCAAGGUGUACCCCAAAACCUGCACUGCAUCUGUAGCCAAGAAACAGUUUAUGAUGGGCUCAAGAAGUCAUCUGACCUUUUGUGGCGAUGCAGGACUAGAGCACACACAACAGAGUCUUUCUUUAGGAGGAAUGAACAUCUGCAUGACAUGAAAACAACAACACUAGGAAAAAAAAAAGAAAAAAGAGAGGAUGAACCCACAUGUUCACAUGGUCUGCAAAAUCCAAUAGUGGAGGCUCAGAGUUCAGCCCCCCCCGGGUGGCUGAAGGGACACCAGAGCCAGCCUGCCUGGACUGUGGGAGGAGCUGAGAAAGGAACCAUCACAUCACUUUUGGCCAGCGUUCAGGGAGGCACCGACUGGCUCCAGAAGAAAUCAUCAGCAAGUCUCUUCUGCUACAUUCUGCAAAUAGGCCUUUCAAAGGGAUGAUGGGUGAGGUAAAAAGAGGUAGAAUUUGUGGGAAAUCAUACUCCUCAAAGACAACCUUCCUCUGAACUGGAGAAGAAACUUCUUUCAUGCUUGUAGGCAAUUUUCCUUGGCUCGUGAUGAUUGCAAAUCUCAGAAUAACCGAGGUUUGCUCACCUGCAAAAGCAACAUGAGAUCUGCCCACCCACCCACCCACCCAUCCUGACACAUGGCACCAUGGCUGCCAUAGGACAUACGCACCAGGCCUUAUCCGAAUGCAGGAAUACCAGCCCUCUCCCCUCAGAGUCAGAGCACUACUCCCACAUUUGGAGGUGUGAGCAGACAACCCUACCCAAGAAACUGAUUGAUUUCUCUUCCUGCAUGGACACAUUUUACCCCAGGAUUCCAGCUAAACAUGGAAAGGACUGAACCAUGGGAUGGACAUGGGCCAUGGCUCAAAAGAACAGUACAACCUGAGAGAGGAUAAGUAAAGAAAGGGAAGAAACAGAGAGGGGUUUGAAGCAGCAAUGCCAGCGAAAUGGACACGUAAACAGCACACAAGGGGAAACUGUGGUCACCGAUUGUUCAACAAGACACAAAUGGGUGUCUUUUUAAUUAGCCAAUCAUGUGAAAUGUGUGGAUUAAAUGACCAGUCAGGUCCACCGUAGCGAACUGAGCUACAAAAGAAGAGAGGAUGAAAUAAACACGGCUUUUGCCACUUUGCCUUCUGAUCUGACUAUGCAUCAUCUCUGACUCAACGGUGACACAUUACUACACAGGUUUUCUAUCUCAGCCUCAUAAUCCUGACAUCAAGCGUCUUCCCAUCUCUGACACCUCCCUGAUGCCAGCUUCAGCACAAUCAAGAUCUACAUGUCUUGAAGCCUGCAUAUUCCCUUUUCUGCCAUCCCAAUGACUAACUAGAGAGCAGAGGAUUCAACAAAGGUAAGAGUAAAGGUCUGGCUGAAAGUCAGCAUUUUAUACUUGUUAUGCACACAAGCUCAUUUACACAACACCAAAGCAGUCCCUGUCUUCCCAGUGACACACAGGUAUAUUCUAACACUCCCUUACUAAACAUGCACUAUGGGCAACAGUUGGCACAAACUUUCUUUGCAGAGGGGCAUUUGUAGAAGAGCUAGAACACAAAUAGAUCAUGUGGAUAAUGGACCAAAAUGAAAUGAAGGCAACUUAUUUCAGUUGGAUUUUAUAAACAGUCUUCUUAAUGAGGCACAAAUACCUAAUUACAGAAACGACAGGAAGAUCUUAGGGCCAAGUAUUAUACAACUGAUGGGAGUGCACAGACUCACCAUUUACCUCACCUUCAUUACCUGAAGAGAGGGAAAAAGUAAAAGUACAGCUAUUUCCAGUUCUAACUUCAGAAAUGCAUUGGGGGGCUGUGUAUUCCUACCCUUUAGUUCUGUCCAAAAAAACUGCAAAGUUCAGGUAUUUGAGAAAUUCCACACCUGACUGCUGGAAACAUAGACAGCAGAGUCUACUUCUUCUCUCCCUUAUUUAGCAUAUUAAUACCUUCUUGCCUUCCUUCCUUUUUACCUUGAGAGGUCAGUAAGAUUCAUUCUCAUAAGUUUUCUUAAGACAGUAGUAAGAAAAUUCUUUAAUGCUAUGACAAUCUCACCCCAAGUCCCAUGUAAGCACUAAGGAUGUACUACCAUACAUGCACCUGUGUGCAGUUCUGGGUGUCAUUAUUUAAAAAGGAUGUGAAGGUCUACGAAGGCUUCCAGAGGAGAGCAACAAAGCUGGUGAAAUCAUUGGAAGGAAUGUCCUACAAGGAGCAGUUAAGGAUUCUGGGCUUGUGUAGUUUGUAAAGGAAAAGGCUGAGGAGCAAUUUCAUUGCUCUCUACAGGCUCCUGAGGAGCGGAAGUGGAGAAGGUGGUGCUGGUCUCCUGUCCCAUCCAGUGACAGGAUUUGUGGGAAUGGCUCUAAGCUGCAUCAGGCAGGAGUAUUUCUUUUGAAAAGGUGGUCAAACACAGGAACAGGCUUCCUAAAGAGGUGGUGGAUGCCCCAAGCCUGUCAGGGUUUAGAGAAAGCAUUUGGACAAUGCUCUUAACUUUUUUUUACUUUUGGUCAGCCCUGAAUUGCAAGGGUUCUCAGCUUUUAUAAGCAGGGCUUAAAAUAAAAAUCAAAAAACAUUUUUAAUGUGUUAAGAUACUCAUAAUACACUUUUAAUAGUAUUGUUCACAGUUUAGGUUCAUCUGUAGUGUCUGCAUCUUGAAUUAUCUCUUUUCAUUGUGUCAAGUACUACAGUACUUGGCUAUAUAUAGCAGCAAGACACAUACAGAUUAAAUGGCUCUAAGAAAAACUAUUUACAUCUAAUUUGAGCAACCCAAUGCAUCACAGGUAAGAGGACUGUGGAAUUAUCACAGCCAUUGAAGACUAUCAGGGCACACUCCUUCUGGUUCCAAAUUGCUAAACUGAGACUCAAGACCUGUGUCACUCUUACACCAAAGGUUGUGUAAGACAUGACUACAAGUUACCUUAACCAUUGUUUGUCUUGUAAAUUACAGACACAUAUUUGCUGCUGGUUAAUCAAAUCAAUCUUAUGGAUAUUUUUAAACAAUUAAAUAAUUCAGGGCAAAUCUUCGGCUCUCAUCAGCUGAAGAAGUUUUGCCUAAACAAGGAAAGAUAUACACAAUUCCAAAUUGUUUAAAAUGAGAUUGAUAAACACAAGACACUUUUAUACCAUGACUAAGAUGUCAAAGAAGCAGUUACAUAUUUUACCCAUGUGUUGCCACAACCAAGGCAUACCAAUUUUAGGUAAUAUUCAGAUUGUCAGCAAGGAGUCAGCAAAGAAAUAUGGUUUGGCAGCAAGAGUCAUGAACGAACUGGGAUUUAAUAUCUCAAGAAUGUUAGCAAAGAUUGCUGUUUACAGAGAGGAGCAGAAAACGAUGUGACUGAAACACACAAACUGGUUUAAUGCUUGUAACAGAGAGGCAGAAGCACAUUUUGAGCCUAGAAGAAAGAAAAUGCUAAACUAAGGAUUUAAAUUCAUUAACUUUAUCAACUCGAAAUCACUUUAUCACUUAAAAUUGAUAAUUUCACAAGACAGUUGCUCCCACUCUCCUCUUUGAAAUUGUAACCCUUCAAGAGGAGCAAAGGAGUGUGCUAUAUAUAUUCCUCUCAGUCAGAGAACAACAGCCAGUGCAUUUGUGAGAAAUACUCCUAACUUCAGUUUAGGGCAGGGUCCAAAUUGCUCCAGUUGUAGACUCCCAUUUACAUCGUCCUUUAAACUGCAAUGAAACUGCAGGACAAUAGCUUCUCUAAUACCAGAGCUAACUUUGCUAGUAACAAAGAUUAACCUGAGUCCUGAUUUAUAACCACAGAAAUGUAACAAAUUCAGACCUGCAGUAUGAAGACGUACAUAAAGAGAAAAUAAGCUUAGUUCAAAACUGCACACUUUUCCUCGU